GGCAUUUCUGGCUGAAUGAAGUUUCUACAGUUUCUCUUCCUCUCUGGCACAUCAGGCAUCGGGGAUCUGUGUGCUUGGUCUUGGCACAGGCCUCCCUGCUGAGGCUUCAGAAAAAGGCUUAAAGAAAAAGAAUUGCACAGCAACUCUCUUGUGAACUGGGGUGAAUUGUUCAGGGAUUAGAACAUUUCCUGGAAGGAACUCUGAAGAAGAGGGUGACAGAAAAGUUCCUGUCUCCUAGGUACUCUCUUCAGAGCACUGUGCUAUUCCUUCCCCUGCUGACAUUCCAAGAAACUGGAGGAAAAGAGCUUGGCCUGUUUACCUUGAAGUUUGGUUCUUUUUUAGUUCCUCUAUGGAUGGACACCAUGUGAAAAGUAGAGAGGAGAUGAUCAGUUGCCCAAGGCCACUCAGUGGCUUGGGAGAAGGAUAGUAUGGUGAUGUAUUCCAGGAUGUAUCAGGGGAGCAAUUCCCAAUGAUGGCAAAGAAGCAUUAACUGUGUUAUACAAGGCCCAGGGAAAACAACAUCUGGAAUUUUUUGCUGGUCAGGGAGAAUGAAAUUACAUAUGAACAAGUGAAGAGGACUGCAG
rnacentral:lncRNA from 1 species